UUUGCGCGAACAUGCGAAUGUACUGUUUAUCACCCAACACGUGCGAGGUUUGUUUUGUUUUUUGCUAGGAACCAGCCACCAAAAUGAAGUUUUCGUACAAAUUUUCCAACUUGUUGGGUACAAUUUAUCGCAAUGGUAAUUUGGUCUUCUCGCCGGAUGGCAAUUCAGUUAUUAGUCCCGUGGGCAAUCGGAUAACGGUGCACGAUUUGAAAAACAACAAAUCGCGCACCCUUUCGUUGGAGUCGCGCUAUAAUUACACAAACAUUGCGCUUUCUCCGGAUGGAAGCCUGCUGAUCGCUGUUAACGAGCAGGGCGAUGCUCAACUCAUCAGCAUGGUGUCCUGCACGGUGAUACACAGACACAAAUUCCAAACUGGCGUGCAGUGCAUCUGCUUCAGUCCCGAUGGAAAAUAUUUUGCCGUGGCGCGCGAGAAUUUGGUGCUCAUCUUCUGCGCACCAGGAGAAAUAACCGGAGAGUACAACCCGUUCGUGCUGAAACGGAGCUUCCUCGGUGGCUAUGAUGAUGUUACCUGGCUGGAUUGGUCUUCAGAUUCGCGGCUACUGGCCAUUGGCUGUCGUGACAGCUCGACAAAGAUCUGCGCUAUCAACUACACAACGAAUUUCCGCACUUACAACUUAACUGGGCACACGGAUGGCAUUGUAUCCUGCUUCUUCGAAGCCAAUAGCUUGCAUCUCAACACAAUCAGUCGGAAUGGUCAGCUUUGUUUGUGGGAAUGCAGCUUGGCCCCAUCGGAUUUGGAGGAUCCAGAGAAACCCGAGGUGCAAGCUCCAAAAAGCAGGAAGCUGGAGCAAAAGGACUCGGACAAUGAAUCCGAAGACGAUGUAGAAAACGUGGUAGAGAAGCAGGCUUUAAAAGAAGACUCGGCAGCUAUCGCCCUCGAUGUGAAUGAACUGAAGGACGAGGCAGUUAAGAAGAUGCAUCCCUUCUUUUAUAAAAAGCUGGCCCGACACUAUCUGGCUGAUGAACCCCGCAAAGAGCAAAGGGAUGUCCAGUUGACGGCAGCCAACUAUAACAGGCGCACUAAGGUCUUGGUCGUGGCCUUUAGCACCGGAGCAUUCUACCUCUAUGAGUUACCCGAUGUGAACAUGAUUCAUUCGCUGAGCAUUUCCGACUAUCCCAUCUCGGCGGCGAUAUUCAACUGCACUGGUGAUUGGGUGGCCUUGGCGUCGCGUGAGAUCGGACAACUAUUGGUCUGGGAAUGGCAAAGCGAGCAGUAUAUUAUGAAACAACAGGGCCACAGCAGCGAGAUGACCUGCAUUGCUUACUCUUCAGAUGGCCAGUACAUUGCCACUGGCGGUGAGGACUCCAAGGUGAAGCUGUGGAACACCCAAAGCAGCUUCUGCUUCGUCACCUUCAGUGAGCACACCAGCGGUGUGACUGGCAUUCAGUUCAGUAGGAACAAGAAGUUUUUGGUCAGCAGCUCCCUGGAUGGCACAGUGCGUGCUUUUGAUGUCAUCAGAUAUCGAAACUUUAGGACCUUUACCUCACCGAAUCCCGCUCAAUUUUCCUGCGUUGCAGUGGACUAUUCCGGCGAGCUAGUAGUAGCAGGCGGGCAGGAUAUCUUCGACAUAUUCCUUUGGUCGGUGAAAACGGGCAAACUUCUAGAGAUCAUCAGCGGCCAUGAGGGUCCAGUGGUCUCGUUGGCUUUCUCGCCAGUAGCCACAUCUUCCACUCUGGUUUCGGGUUCUUGGGACAAGACAAUCAAGAUUUGGAACUGCCUGGAAAGCAAUAGCGAGCAUGAAACCAUUGAUGCUGUCUCAGAUGUCACAAAUGUGACAUUCAGUCCCAGCGGUGAAGAGAUUGCUGUGGCCACAUUGAGCGGUAACAUAACCAUUUUUGACAUCAAAUCUGCUAGUCAAGUGACCAGCAUAGAGGGACGCAAUGAUCUGAGCAGCGGUCGCAUGGAAACCGAUGUGAUAACAGCCAAGAAGAAUGCCCAAGCCAAUUACUUCUCUACCAUUGAGUACUCUGCGGAUGGGGAGUGUCUGUUGGCUGCUGGAAAGUCUCCCAAUAUUUGUAUUUACCAUGUUAAGGAGGCCAUCCUCCUCAAGAAAUUCCAGAUCACUCAAAACCACAGCUUAGAUGGCCUGAAUGAUUAUAUCAGUCGUAAGAAUUUAAGCGAAUUCGGAAAUAUGGCUUUAGUGGAGCAACGCGAAGAGUUUGAGGGCGGAAAGGUUGCCAUUCGAUUGCCUGGUGUACGCAAAGGAGAUAUGUCCUCCAGACGCUUCCAGCCCGAGGUGAGAGUGUUCUCUGUAAAGUUCUCGCCCACUGGUCAGGCCUUUGCAGCUGCUGGAACGGAGGGCCUCUGCAUCUAUGCCUUGGAUAAAGGCGUUGUCUUUGAUCCGUUUGACUUGUCGCUGGAAGUGACGCCGAAGGCGGUCCAUGAGUCUCUCAAAAAGCUGGACUUCACAAAGGCGCUGGUUAUGUCCUUGAAGCUAAAUGAACCCAAUUUGAUUGCUUUGGUGGUGGAGCGUGUGCCGUACAGGGAUAUCGAACUAGUCUGUGCGGAUCUGUCGGCAGAAUUUGCCCAGCGCUUGUUGCAGCAAUUGGCCCGCCUCUUGCAAUCCACGCCACACAUUGAAUUCUAUCUGCAAUGGAGCUGCUGCCUACUGACACUGCAUGGAAACCAGGAUGGCGUAUUCCAGCACACUGGCCUGCUGGCCCUGCAUGAAAUCCUCUCAAGGAAAUACGAAACCCUCAAUAAAAUCUGUGACUAUAACAAGUACACUUUGAGGGUUCUCCUGGAUAGGGCCGACCAGUUGGAUCAAGGAAAUGAGGGAAACAAGAGCACCAUGGACGGGGACAGCGAUGAUGAUAUGCUGCUUAUUAGGACAAAAGAGAAUGGGUCAUCACAGAUGCAGUUUAGCGACGAGGAGGAGAGUGCCACCGAAUCCGAGGAUGACGAAUAGGAAUGUUGUUCGAUACAUCCGCCUUCGGUCCAUUGUCUUGUUGGUUGUGUUUAAAUGCAAAUAUUAGUUUGUUUGAACCCUAUUCGAGAGCUCACCGAACUAUGAUCAGCUUAGUGAACACCGCAACUUAAGAGAUGGAAAGGAUACAUACUUACAAAUAUGUAAACUGGACUGGCAUAGCAGAUAAAUCUUAGAUAAAUAUGUAUAUUUAUGUUAAUAUAGUGAUAUAAUGUAUUUACAUUGUGUCUGUAUUUUCAUAUCAAAUAUAAACUCGAUUUAGCUUAACAAUAAUAUGUUUACAAAAACCUGCCUGAUGCCUGGUGUGCGCUGCUUGAACUACAGGUCGGUUUAUACAAUACAUAGAUGUUCUCGAAUUAGUUGUAAAAGCCACAGCUCUAAUGCUUGCAUAAAAACACGCUAUAAUGGAUAAAUAAUUCUAAAUAUGUAUGUAAAAAUCUCUAAAAAGCGUUCACUGUUCCUCUGUUAAGUUAUUUACAAUCCAAAUAUCCUUAAAGGCCAUUUUAUUAUCUCCUUAAAGCACCAAUGCAAUUUCUUGGCUGAUUUGCCUAAGCCUAAUACAAAAAUUCAACUGAAAAUAGCUGUCUGCUAGAAAAUAGCUGUCUCGUUUCGUAGCUCGAACAUACUAGGUAUGCGCAUACAUACGAUAUGUAUUGAAUACUUUCAAAGCAGGGACAGCCAUCCCUUUCGAUUCAGGGGUAUAUUGUCACUAGCACAGUGAUAUAUAAAUAUAUAUUCUCCAGCUUAUCUCAUUGACAAAUGUGUGUGCUGAGAUUAAAGAAAUUCACUGCAAAGCUAAAUCAUACAUAGGUAGGACUGCAGCUCAAGCAUAUACUCGUAGUUCUGUGAGUGGUGUCCCUCGUAGCAUAGAUUAAAAUUAAUGUGAAACUAAAAUGAUCGUUAAAUAUAAGAUACGUUUUAUACAAAGCAAAUACUCGAAACGAAUCAAGUAUUCUCCGUGAGCAAAUUGUCGAUAACUUAGUUAUAUUUCGUUCAUAGCACAGUGUGUCCGAUAUAGGAAUAUGUAGCAUUGUAGCUGCUGGCAAUUACUUAUGUAGGUAACUGUAGUUUUCACUUGUUGGUUGUACUUCGAUGAUACAUUUUGAGGUUCAAAGACUCUUCUUUUUGAUAUUACACUGUGUGUCUUCAAAACUUGAGUUUAAUUUGUCAGAUUUACCGCCCAUUGCCUAUAGAUUUUUUAACGGAGUCCAGACAUAUGCAAUCUGGAACUCCCCAAGUCCUAGGACGACUUCAUCAGCAGGAUCGGCCAGUACAGGAGAACAAA
rnacentral:misc_RNA from 1 species